GCUUGGGUAUCUACAGUCUUGAUGUAUUAAGUUGAGAACCUUUGGAAGACUUGCACUACGAUUCUAACAUGAAGACGCUGGUGUUUCUACUAUUGACACUUUUUUGCCUGAUGGGAAUGGUAGUCUCUGAAAUAAAACCUGAUGCAGCUUGGUUAAAAAAGAAUGAAGAUCUUGUGAAAUGGUGCCAUCUACAACAGGGAUCCUUGUGGGACCGCGAAAAAUGUGUAUAUAAUGGUAUAACAUAAAGGCAUUCGAUAACACUUAUGUUGAAUUUAACUAAUUCCUGAAGAAUUCGAUCAUCAUUUGGUCAAAAGAUCAUUAAACAAAGAUAUAAAUGAUUUUGGUUCUAAUGAUUAAAUAAUUAGAGUGUUCUUUGGAGUGGCAUCUCGAUAUGUAUUUGCAUUCAAUCCCCUUCCAAUCAUAACGGUUCCACGGACUGCAGCCUGCAUCCGAUCCCCUGGAAGUAUCGUGCCUCCAUGCCAUCAUCAUAAUCAUCCUGGUGCGCAGACGCUCUAAUCGCUCAUUAAACGGCCACAAUUUGCCCGGACGGCGUUGCAUUUAAAUUACUUUCCCAUUGACUUGGCCAGGGGAAUUGGCUGAAAUUUGUUUAUGAGGGCCAGCGCAGACCUUUUAACUAAAACUAAAGCUCAUAACUCUGGCCAACCGACAUUCGGCUCUGUCUGCUCCGUUGGACAAUCGAGUCGCGUGAAUUUUAGCAAUCAGGCAAGGCCCGUGGAAGUUCCAAAGUCGCAGCUGAAAACUCUUGAAGCUCCAGCCAAUGUGCACCCCAGAACCCCACUGGUCCCACUUUGUUGUCGUCGCAUUCAUCAAAAAACUCUAAAGUCGUGCAGUUCGGUUUCCAAAUCUAUGCCCCACCCGCAUCCUCCAGUUCUGCAUUUUCCCCUCUCAGCCCGUUCCCUUAUUGCAAUUGGCAUGCCAUGCUUGAGUUUUCCAAGUUUUUCUUUAGAAUUUUCCAUGCUCUUUAUAGGAAGAGAGGGGCAGCCGAGCUGACCGACGUGAUAUUAGAAAUUUAGCUUGCCCCAGCCUACUGCCUCUUCCUUGUCCACCCAUGGGAAACUGCUUUCUGCCAUAUUUUGACUUUCUCUAAUCUCCCAGAAUCACCAGAACCAAAGUUUGAGCUAUUCUUCAGGCUAGAGUUUCCAUGAAUCCUCUUUGUAGCUAUCUUUAUGAUAUAUUUUGGCCAUGUCAACUGCGACGAUUAUGUGAAAACUAUAUUGUUAAUGGACUUGCAGAAUUUAGAAAUUAAAAACAAAAGACAUUUAGAUACCACAAACAGUGAUUUUCAGUCCAAUUGAUUUAUCUUUCUGAUGUUCUGCUUGGUUGCUGAUUCAAAUCGAUUGAAAUAGACAAAAAUAAGUGCACAUCACAACAAUCUUCCAGCUCCAAAUCAUUUGGCAGCUGACUCACUUUCCCACUCCCCUGGCCCAGGCACUUCAAAAGGAAUUUCAAAUAUUUAUUAACGCCCUGCUCGCGAGCUGGCUCAUAACUGUUGUAAAUUACUUGGCCAGGCUGUAAAUAUUAAUAACCAAAGGGUGAAGCGCCGGAAUCACCGAAAUAGAGGGUCGACCGAAUGAGGGGGCGACUAUUUCGAGCAGUGUUGAGGAACCAAUUAAGCGGAUUUCAAGUGCUACGAAAAUAGCGCCGCACAAUCAAAAGGUGACGAAGCGAGCUCGCCGGCAAGGAGGAAAACUCGUGGAAAACCCGGGGAAAACAUCACUCGUCUAUUACAUAAGGCAGAUGCUGAAGAGGGUGAUAGUGCCGGAUAAUGGAGGAGUGGAAUCGGGGGACUGACAUUGAAAUGUUGCGCGUGCAGCAGUGCAAACAAAUUUAAAAAUAAAAUAAGGACAGCCGUGAGGGAAAUGCUGAGGAAAGUUGCGUCUGCAGCAUAAAUUAAACUGCAUUGCAUUGCUGCAUUAAGAGAUCAAACACGAGUGAGGGCGAGGGGGAAAGGCUUUCCCAGCAGGAGGCUGCAUCUGCUCCUCGAGCAUUUAAAAUGCUGUAAAUUUUAAUUAGACGAGAUGCUCGUACUCCGAAUUUGGGGGCGCGCAAGCUGAGAAAUGUGCCAAGGGAUUCCUCUGCUAAAUAUCUGAAUAAAGAUAACGAUAAAUAAUUAGGGUAAAUUUAACAAGGAGGUGAAGAUCUUAACUUGAUUUAAAUCUUAUCAAUUAGAUAGGUUUACGGCGCAUGGAAUAAUGGCAAAAUGGAGGAACAAGUCGAACUCUUCACCCAUAUUAUAAAAUUCAGUUUUAUUAAACUGAAUAAAGGACAGCCCUGUAAUACCAAUCAUUUUAAUUAUUGACUACUAUUAACUUCCUGGUAUCAACUGCCGAAGACCUUAGAGCAGUUUCAAUGCCAAAACUCUUUGGUCUCCAUCUCCGUCGGAGUUGGCCAUAAAUAAUAAUCAUGACAAUAUUUAUCCCCGGGCAAUGUGAACUUUUCGCACAAAGAGCCGAGACUCUGGAGCCGAAAGUUGAGUGCAACUCAGCUCGAUUUGAUGCCAGGCGAUUCAAAAUGAAUCGCGGCUCUCGAGGCCUCCUUUGUUUUUUGUUUGCCGCUUUCAGCAAACUGCAGGCAAUAUUGUUGACAUUGGCUGGAUGUCUGGGAGCCAGUUAUGGCCAAGAUCUAGCUACUCCGUGCUGGUGUAGUAGGUUCCAAACGAAAAAUUGAAAUGGUAAAGUAAACAUGGGAUAUUAAAAUUCCGUUCUUACCGUAAUAAAAGGUUUAUAACGAAGCUUAUAACGCUAUACUUAUUUUUAUUGCUAAUGGGUAACAUUAUCUGCUGUUUCUGUUGUCCUACAAUCAGAGUCUUAUAUUUGGGUAUAGCUUUUUACGAGUUCCCUCCUCAUCACUGGCUCAUCUUGAGGUUCUGGGGGCCCUUCUCCGCUCUUAGCCGGCUUAUCAAAAAUUGCAUGGCAUUGCAGCAGGCUGGGAAUGCUAGUGGGUCCACGGUUUACGGGGGCUGGACCCCCUUCGAAAUGUCGGCAUAGCCACAAUUCCUGACAUUCGUUGGCUGAGAUUAAUGCGCCUUUGGUUGCAGCCGCCAAGUCGGCGAGGGCAGGUCAAGGGCCCGAGGUCUGAGGCGUCUGGCCUAUACUCUAAACAAAUCAGAGUUCAAGGGCUUUGCGGAAGCCACAUGCUAAGUGAUAAAGUUCUUCCUAGAAGACUACUAUUCAAUUAAUUUAUAACAAAGUAAACAAACAAUAUUGAAGUUGAGUUGAUAUAAACGCUCUUAAAUUCCGAAGAAUUUCUUUCUUUUGCGAGACUACAAAGAACUUCAGAAUAUUAUACAAAGAUAGUAAGGUUGUCACACUAAUAAUGAUAUCUGAAAGUCCUUCAAAAACUGUGAGUUUACAAAACCAUAAAUAUUUUGUAGUAUUUCAAGGAAAGGGUAUUCCAAAGUCUUCACUCCCUAGUACAUCUUAGCUUUCUUGCUCUUUUUUUUGGGCCUUUUUGUCGACCUCAGCCGCAGUUUAAGUUCCAGUCUCGGAUUGCGCAAUAAGAGCCCUCAGAGAAGUAAA
rnacentral:sRNA from 1 species